rnacentral:rRNA from 1 species
CCUACGGGUGGCAGCAGUGAGGAAUAUUGGUCAAUGGACGCAAGUCUGAACCAGCCAUGUCGCGUGCAGGAAGACUGCCCUAUGAGUUGUAAACUUCUUUUGUACGGGGGUAAAGCUCUCUACGUGUGUCUGGUUGAAGGUACCUACUGAUAAAGAACGGCUUAAUUCGGUCCCAGCAGCCGCGGUAAUACGGAGGGUCAAGGCGUUAUCCGGAUUUAUUGGGUUUAAAGGGGGCGUAGGCGGUUCGUUAAGUGAGAGGUGAAAUCUGGGGGCUCAACCCUGACACUGCCGCGGAAACUGGCGGGCUAGAGUUUAGUUGAGGUAGGCGGAAUGUAUGGUGUAGCGGUGAAAUGCAUAGAGAUCAUACAGAACACCGAUUGCGAAGGCAGCUUACCAAACUACGACUGACGUUGAGGCACGAAAGCGUGGGGAGCAAACAGGAUUAGAUACCCUUGUAGUC